rnacentral:lncRNA from 1 species
UGGGAGGGAGAUCUAAACCUUCAGAGAGGCAGACACGCCUGGGAAACCAGAAGAGACUGCACUCUGCACACAUUACUGAAUCCAGAGGAAAACACCAAACGACAUCUGGAACCCUGGUGCACGGAAGGUCCUGGAAAGGGCUGCGCAGAUCUUCCUGGUUGCUACCGCCAUGGAGAGCUCGUAAGCAACACCCCAUGAGCAAACUUGAGCCUCGGGACCACAGGUAAGACAAACCUCCCUACUCCAAGAAACCUGCCUAGUGAACUCAGGACACAGGCCCACAGGAACAGCUGAAGACCUGUAGAUAGGAAAAACUACACGCCUGAAAGCAGAACACUCUGUUCCCAUAACUGGCUGAAAGAAAACAGGAAAA